rnacentral:rRNA from 1 species
AUUGAACGCUGGCGGCAGGCCUAACACAUGCAAAUCGAGCGAGCGGCGGACGGGUGAGUAAUGUAUGGGGACUGCCCGAUAGAGGGGGAUAACUACUGGAAACGGUGGCUAAUACCGCAUACUAUCGGAUACCCCAUAUGGGAUUAGCUAGUAGGUGGGGUAAAGGCUCACCUAGGCGACGAUCGCUAGCUGGUCUGAGAGUAUGAUCAGCAACAUUAGGAUCGAGAGCCGGCCCAGACGCCUACGGAGGCAGCAGGGGGGAAUAUUGCACAAUGGGCGAAAGACUGAUGCAGCCAUGCCGAGUGUAUGAAGAAGGCCUUAGGGUUGUAAAGGACUUUCAGCGGGGAGGCGUUACACGCAGAAGAAGCACCGGCCAAUUCCGUGACAGCAGCCGCGGUAAUUC